rnacentral:sRNA from 1 species
UUUCCCCUGUGCUCACCCCCACCCCACCCCCACCCCAUCCCCUCAUUUCUGUUGACAUGUGACUUGUAGCAUUGGCCGCCUUCCUGCCUGGAUCUUGAUGUCUGCCAACUGGCCGAUGAUGGGUCUGCGAUCCCACUUCCCUCUGCCUGUUUUCACCCUCUGAACUGUGGAGGCAGCUCAUAAAACAUGGGCUCCACACAUUUUACAGCAUUCAGUCGGGCUUCUCACAGCACACAUGGUAAUGACAAGCAGGUUUCCAGGGGGCAGAGCCAACUGGAGGCUCAGGCUUCCCUUUACGUGCCAUGUCAGGUGGACUGCGAGCCUCUCCCAAGAUGUCUCAACAGUUUUCAUUUCUUGAGAGGUCAAAGGACAUGUGUGGACAUAAUUCUUUCCAACUGGUAGCCCCUUUCUCACUACAAUAAAAACGUGUGGAGUUUGAUCCUGUUCCUUCUAUUGGCCGGCAAGUGUUACCGUGGUCUGUUGACUGUAUGCAGUGUUAUGUGUAUGUCUAACCACAAGGAAUUUUUAAAACAGUGAAUACACUAUUUUUGCCCCAGUUCAGUUUUCUUCCUGCAAGUAGAUGUAAUGUAAGGACAUUAAAGCCAUGACCGUAGGAUCGACAUUUCUUUCUUUCAAGUAAUUCUGCUCAGGAGUAAGAUUCCUGACCUUACGUGGCACUGGUCCCCAACAGAUACCAAGUGCUCAGGCCCCGACAUUCUAAAUGUUAGGUACCAAACUGACCUUUCUGUAAUCGAUUUGUUUAAUCCAGUGUUAUUAAGAGCCAGCUGUUCCAGCAUUGAUUGGAUUGAUGUAGUGGCCCUGGGAAGCAGGCACUAGACAAGGCCAAAGUAACUAGACUACCGUGCGCAUGCGUGGGCAAGGACUCAGUAGCAGCACUGGAUUGUGCACAUCACCAAUCAGGAAGACCCCAAUCAGUUACAUGUGGCCUGUCAUGGGUGUGUGUGUGUGGGGGGGGGGGGUAAAGCAGGAGAGGGAGGGAGAGAGGGUGUGUCUAGUAUCGUUGGCUUUGGAAUUUGGCUACCCCGUGGUCCCACAUGCCUGGAAGAGUCUUGGAGGUUAAGAGCCAGGAGUCUGGGAAGGCAAAGGAUAUGGAUAUUGGUUACUUAGAUGCCUUCCAGGUGGUCACCAUGGCACUCUCCAAAGCCCAGAGGGAAGGAUGAAAAAGACUGCCUCUGACUCUUUCCAUUCAGGCUUUUAAAAAACGCUGCUGGGAGUUCCCUACUAGCUUUUAAAUGGCUGCCCUACAAAUCUGGGGUUGCUUCCGUGUAUGAACAGGUCUGGCAGUGUCGGAUGUGGCCAGCAGCAGCGCCAAGGGCAGAAGGCAGACCAUUCCUGUCAGUGUCCUUGGGGUCCUCAUGCGUUAUCUCCUGUGCCUUCUGAGGUUUUCUCUGCCUCCAAGGCUUCCUCUCUACUCCUCAUCUGUCUCCUUGGGUGUGUGGUCUGGAACCCCAUCUUCCGAUGUGUAGUUUGAUUUUGAUAGGAAAGAACUAGGCCACAUAAUAAUACCUUGAAAGGAUUAAGUGCCGGGUUGGGUGUAUCUCCUUUGAGACAUGUGUUCCUGGGAGUGUACCAGUAUAAUGAGUUUAGUUAGCUGAAUCAUGUUUUGCAGACAUCGAAAUUCUGAACUUAGAAAUCUCUGCUAAGGACAGAAACCUGACCAAAGUUGUCUCAGCCUCACACUGCGAUUUUUUCAGUGAAGGUUUAAGAAGCAUGUGUUUUUCUCAUGAAUUACAAAAUAAAAACAAUUAAGAGAGGGGGGAAAAAACCACAUUUUGCUAAUGGUAGCCACUAUAUUCUUGACAUGAUUUAGUUCCUUUAAAUAUAGCCAACACAGCCAGGCCUGGGACACAGACUGAUAAUCCUGGCUGCUUGGGAGACUGAGGCAGAGGGAUUGUUAAAAUCAAGGACUACCUGUGCUAUAGAGCAAAGGCUAGUCUAGACAACUCAUUAAGAUCUCCUCUCAAAAUACCAAAUUGAAAGAAGACUAGGAAUGUAGGUCAGUGGGAGAAAUCUUUGGGGAGCAUGUGGAAGGCCCUGAAAUCAAAGUCCCAGCCCUCCCCCCAAAUAAGUAACUAACUACACACAAAAAUAAGUAAACAAAUAAAUAAAUGGAUAAUUAUUAGUGUUUAUUGGUCCUCAUCAUGGGGUAGGCUCAGUGCUAAAUUCAUUGGCAAGGAUCAUUUCCCAGAAUCCUCAUCAGAACCCUUUGAGGACUGGGCUAUCUUUAUUGUGAUUUACAUAUUUUUGAGAUUGAGGUUCAAAUAAGUAAUCUGUUAAAUUCAAGACUCUAUUGCUGUUAAGGGAUGGACUUGGAACUUGUUCUCUUGGAGGCUGGCUUCCAAGGCCAUGGUUAUAAAGCCUCCCGAGAAGCCAGCUUUCCUGAGAGGAAGAAAUAGUGUACCUUCAUUAAAUGUUUUUGUAACUCCUUAAACAUAUGAACCAGAGUCUGGUGGUUACGUGUUGCGAUGAUACACUUCCAGCUCCCUUUGAGUGGGUAACUAAGGCGCUUGUCUGUGGUCCUAAGCUCACUUGGGUAGAGCUAAUGAGAACAAGGUGAUGAGGUUCCGUCCCCAUGGGCAUCUGUUCACUGGACUGAGAUUCAAGGCCACAAAAUUAACCUUUCACCUAGGCCAGCUGCCUCACAAACAUACUGCUGUGCUGCUUAUCAGAGAGGAUAAGGAGGGUAUUGUAGUUAAAAUGCUAUAGCCCCCCCCAAGACCUUGACCAGUGGUUCAAUGACAUUAGCUUUCCAAAUCAAAACUAGUCAUUAUUGCCAUUCAAAUAAAUAACUUUAAAUGCCAUUUAUUUGGCAUGUGUGUUUGUGUGUGUGUGUGUUUGUGUGUGUGUGUGUGUGUGUGUGUGAGAGAGAGAGAGAGAGAGAGAGAGAGAGUUUGUGUUUGUGUGAAAGUAGAGAGCAUUGUCAAGUGAGUUCAUAAAUUAGAGUGUUCUUAACCACAGUCCUUUUCUGAAUAUUAAUAUAAUAAUAUCUGUUUCAUAUCUGCCAGAAUACUGGGUGUAGUGUAGCAGCAUUUUUCAGAAUUAGUUCGACCUGAGAACCACCUCCAUUUACCCCAAGCCUUAGAAACAUACUUUAAAAAUGGGUGAUCAUGGUAUACACCUUUCAUCAGGUGAAUUCCUAUGAGUUCAAGGCCAUCCAGGGCUACAGAAGGAGUUCCAGAACAGCCAGGGAUAUGCAAAGACCCUAUUUCUAAAAUCAAUCAAUCAAUCAAUCAACAAAAGAAAGAAACAUACUUUAGAAAAUACCAUGUUUAAUGUGCCAUUAUGCCUCAGUACUAACCUGCUCCAGGAGCUCCAGCCAAGAUCUUGCAUGAUAUUCAAUCCAAGGAUGCCCAAGUUCCUUUUACAUAGUGGGAUAGGUAUUUGCAUGUAACUAUAUGAUCACUCUCAUACACCUUAAACAAUCUCAGUCUCAAUUUUCUUAUGCCAAAAAAACCCAAUGUCGGUGUUCUACAUAUUAAUAGUUGUUGCAUUGUUUAGAAAGCAAUGGCAAACAUAAUAACACAAGCCCCAAACUGUAUUUGGCAGACAUAAUUCUCAUUCUGCAGUGGAUAAUUCAGUUUGGAAUCUGCACGUGUGGAUGCCCAACUGUGUUUGUUUAGAUCUAUGUUAAAUAUCUGUGGUAGAGCUGUCUUUCACACCGGGGGAAACUAUAGAGUUCAAAUUUCUGUACGUGUGUGUAUCUUCCUCCAACAACAUCUAUCUUUACAACCCAAGUGCUUCAUUCAGCAUCUCUUGUUUAAUUUUCUCUUUCUUCUGCCCUAAUUUUUAAGCAGGAUUCUGUGGCUGGCCACAAUACACUUGCCAAGAAAGGGAUAGAUACUACAGGGACUAGAACCCGGGUCUCCGAGCUCCGGCCCAUUUCUCUUUCUGGCAGCCUUUGCUGCCUCCCAGUGGACAGAGCACUUGCUGGGAGCAGGAAUCUUGCUUUGAUUCUCUGGAAGUCCCGUGCAAGGUGAGCUGUAACCAUGUCUUGUCUUUGCUGUCCAUUUAUAAAGUGGCCUUGUCUUAAGUCUUUGAGAAAGACGCAACACUCCACUCCCCCACAAAAGAAAGUUGACCACAUUAUUAACCAACAUUUAAAAAGCACUCCUUAUGGGUUCUAAGAACAGACUUAAAGCUGACUUUUCUACAGAGACGAUAGUCUCAUUGCAGGCAGGAGAAACCCUUUACUUGGGAGUGGUGAGGGCUAAGAAGGUUUGCACCUGAACCUUGAAAAGAACUGUCUCCUGCCUUACCGCCUUAUCACACGCGGUUUCUCUCAUUUCUCUUUUGUUUUAUAGAUCUAGUGCCAAUUCUGGUGAUCUUAUAACUUGGAAAAAAUAACUGAAAGAAUGGGAGAUAAAAUCUUCACUUUUUUUUCUCAAAAAGUUAUAUUCAAGCGAACAUUCUUUAUGCCCUCCCCGUUAGUAAUCCUUAGAUGCUGCCCCAAAGAGCAGGAGGGCUGCCAAAUUCAGCUGGGGUUUCCCUUGCCUGAAGAAUUCAUUAUAAGGAAAUAAACACAUUAGCAACUCUUUGGUCUUUCACAUCUCUAAUAUUUAUAAAGUGCCAAGUCUGUGGAGGAGAGAUCAGGAGGUUCCCACCCGUCAGCUGAAUAGGUGUUGGUUCUGUAUGUUACCAAACCCAGGUUCCCCGAUCAUCCUUGACUAUAGAUUUGUAUUGUUCUUUAUCCAUUUUGAAAGCUACCUAAUUAUGAAUAUUGAAUAUUCUGGCUUUUAACAUAAGGCACUUACCUUUUAAUUGGCCAUCAGUUUGUGUUGAGCUCCGAGGUGUCUCCACCGGGAUUCAGAUGAGUUGUGGAGGUACGCAGCAGGAUGGAGGGUAAAGGUAGAAUGAUCAGGACAAUUAGGUGGAAGCAGGCAAAGUUAGGGGUAGCCAGAGCUAGAGAAAGAAGUGGAUUCAUGGGACUCCGGAUAGCUUGCUGCCUUAAUGCCAGACCGUACUUGGUACUGACCUCCCCCCAAAGCACGUUUUAACUCUCUCCCUGGCUUGGUACAUAUGCACACGUGUUGACUUCUAUCAACCCAAUCACCAUCAUGACUCCCGUGUUCCCAAAGCCAGAGCCAAACAGCAGGCGGGGGUAUGGGGCUCUCACUGCACAAACUUGGCAGGGAGAAAAAGACUGUUAAGUGAGAGCUAAUUGGAAGCUGCCUGAACUGUACUCUCUCAGAGCUAUUUACAAUAUCUUUCGGGCAGCAGCUUCCUGGUUAUUCGGCUCUUGGGGGAGUGAGUGUGGAGAAUCAGAGGACAGUGUUCCAGGCGACAAGGCAGUAUAGUUUGUGAGCCUCCUGACACACGGACUUAAUUCAGUGUUCAUCCUGAAUUCUCAGCACUCCCUUUUGUGGAAAGAGCAGUUCACUUCUUGUAUGUGACGCGUCCCUUACUGUGCUCAUGUAAGCUGUGCCCUCCCUUUGGAGAAACACUUAGAUGCACAUUCCUUGCCCAUGUCAUUCCCAGAAGGUGGUCUAUGGAUCUUCUAUCUGUUCUGUGUUACAACAAAGCAAAACAUCCUUACCUGGGAUCCCGGUGUAAGGCAAGUACGUUUUCUCAAUUAGAAAAGCCGUAUGUUGGGAUCGGGGAUGCCUCUGUGAAAGCUCUGUAGCACUGGGGCUUUUUGUUCUGUGUUCUAAUCUUUCCCUCCUACUCCACAGACAUUAUUUAUUCUAAGCUUCCCCCUAUGCAUCAGUUUAUAGGUAACAAGCUUCUCCCCUUCUUUUCUGGGACAGGUUCUCACUGUACAUCCCUGACUGGCCUGGAAUUCAUUAUGUAGACUAGGCUGGCCUCGAACUCAGAAAGAUCCAUCAUCUCCUCUAUUCUCUAUGUGCUGGGAUUAUAGGCAUCUAUCACCACAUGCUUCCAGGUCACUUUAAAAAACAUAUCUAUAUAUCUAUAUCUAUAUAUCAUAUAUAUAAAGAUAUAUAUAUGUAUAAAGAUACAUAUAUAUAUCUUGAAAAAUUUACUAUUUUAUGUGUGUAUAUGAGUAUGGGUGCAUACAUGCCACAGGACUUAUGGCAUAGGUGGAGAUUGGUGGCUAACUUUUAGAAAUUGAUUCUCUCCUUCCACAAUGGGAUACAAGAAUGAAACUCAGAUGGUCAGGUUAGCAUAGCAAGUGCCUUUAUCCACUGAGCCAUUUCCCCACCAGCCUGAAGAUUACUUCAAAUUGUCCUGUUUAACUGCCGUUCCAAUCCAUGGGGUAGACUAAGAUCGUCUUUUCUGUCAGUAAUUGCAUUCUGGAUCAUUUCCACCAUCCUACUGUGUGCUGUGUUCAGAACAGGGGUGGAGGGUGGGUGAGGGGAAGAGAGCAGUGGGCUCAUAACAUGUAAAUAAGGGCCAUCUCUACCUCCACAUGGCUUCUCAGCAAGACAAGAACCAACCUUAACAAAACAAAACAAAACAAAAAAACAACUUCUAGAAUAUCGCUAUCUUUGUUUACAGAUGUUGAAUUUGUGGCUGUCGUCCUUACAGGGACACGGUUGGACUUUCCUUUUUGUUUCAUUUCUAAGUCAGAGUUUGUGAAAUAAGAAAGCACGAGUUGCCUUAGGCAAGCGGCUGCCUUGAACUCCUCCUAAAACACCCAGUGUGAAGAGCUACACUGGACAGACCCACUGUGUUUGUUCCAAGCCACUUUGAGGCUGUCCUCCUGAGUUCUGAGUUUUGCAUGCUUCCAAACACUAGGAAAUCCCAUCAGUUCACACGUAACCCUACCAACUCAGCCUUUUGUUUGUAUGACUUUAAAUACAGGGAUCGCUUGUGGGUGCAUUUAUAUCUAUUUCUUCUUCCUGUCCCUUCACCUUGCCCACCAGCUUGAGUUAAAAAAUUGCCUCUAAGUGCAUCCCCAGAGCCUGGGUACAGAGUGAGAUAAGGAAUGUAUGAUUACUUUUGUCAUUACCAACUUAAGGUUUUGAGAUUCCAAUUUUCCCCUAGUUUUUAAUUUUUUUUUAAAAAAAUAAUACCUUCUCCUUAUAUUUUGCUUUUUCUUCUCUUUUCUCCAGUGGGUGAAAAAGAGCUGGCUUCUCAGAGCCUGUCUAUGAGGAACUUUAUCUGUCUAGCAGGGGUGAGAAAGCUUUGCAAGGGACCACUCAGGGGUGCUCUGUGGGGGUAGGCUGCGGGUAUAGCCUAGCUUCUUGCUGGUUCUGCAGUAGGGGCUGAGCUGGUACUAACGGCUGGAUGGUAAUAAUGGUGGAAUGAGACCGUCUUUUCUGGUGCGCAGUUGUUUCAUGCCAUGAUGAAUCCCAUUCAGACUUCACCUCAGGCCUUGGGAGUUUCUUAACUCCUUUGAGACAUGAGCGGAGAACCAUACCUGAUCAGAAAAGGUUCUGUGGCUCUGAAAUACAAGAAUUGUACUUGUGGUUCACAGAGGACAUCUCCUAUUCUGCUAGUAGGAAAGGCACUUGAGGUUAGACUCUUUGUCAUUGACCUCCACGUUCUCUAACGAGAGAUCAGUUCCUCCCACCAACUCUGAUCCAGAGAAACAACCUCUUUGAUGCAUCUUCCCUGUGAAUGAGCCCUGGUGACUGGCAUAUCCUUGCCAUUGUCAAGUCCUAGGCUACCACUAGGACCAUUCAUUCAGAUAUUAAGGGAGUUGCAUACUCAGGGGGAAAACUUCCAUUUAGGGGUCGCCUAAGUUUACAAAGCCAGUGUUCUGUGGUGUUUCUGACUUUGAUGCUUGAGUAUGCACAAGCAGAUUUAUUUCUUCCACUAUUGACUUUCAUUGCAAGGCUGGCCCGGAAAGGAUCCCAGGCAGGAGGGGACAUCAUAUUAGGAAGUGGUAGACACCUGUGUCCUGUGGAAUUUCUGCUGAAGUCAUUCCAGGACAGCCACGCCCUUUUCACACCCUUUUCUUUCUGUUCUGCUCUGUGAGUCUACUGGGUGCUUCCAACUAUCUAUAUGAGAGUCCAAGUCUCAGAGAUUAGCCUAGAAUAGCUGUGCUGAGAAUAACCGGUCGGAUUCUAAACCCUCAAGUUCUCCUCAGUUGAUCCUCUCACAUAGGCUGACUAGGAGUAACAUCCUCCUGCUUGAUUCUGGGGCUGCCCUCUGAUGCCCUCCGCCUGUAACUAUGACACUGCACCCUUGGACUGAGCACUUUCUUCUUGAGGGCGAAAUAAACACACGGUGUGCACAUGCAAUGAAGCCAUCUCUCCUGACUUCCUCGAUUUCCACACCUAUCAUAAGCUCGCCACUUGGCCAAACCAAACACUUUCCUUCCUUCUUGUCCUGCGAAUCCUAUCAACCACAGUCUGAAACAUUUCCGUGAAUUGGGAAAUGUAGUCUUAGGUGGCAAUUUGAAACUGCAGCCCUCAGGCCACAUGCCUGGUGGAUGCUCACAUGCGUCUGACACGGUAUGUGCACAUGUACAUAAAGUUGCCAUCUUCUUCUAUUUCUUCAAUGGCGUCCAUCUUCUCUUCCCUGAACAUAUACAGUCAUAAUCUCUUCAGAUAAGCUCUAUCCUAAUACAUAUGUCAUCAUCAUCAGUGAUACAUGUAUGUAUGUAUACACCACACACACGCAUGCACACAUGAGGAAGUAGGGGAAAGGCCUCAGAGACAAUGUUAAUAAAGGCCCUCCCGAGGGUUAGAAGAAAGUUACCCCAAGUAGUUCUAAUUGCAUGCAGUACUCACUGCCUGUAGCUUCCUAUAACUGGGAAUGAAGAGGAGAUGGACCAGAAAUGUGGAAGAGAAAUGACCUACGUUUGUCUAUGAUUUAAGUCUCUGGGAAGAUUUCUCUAUGUCAUUUUCUUGUCUGGGGAAGUUUGAGGGCUUCUUCUACUUGGGCUAAAUGAGAGCCCUGUAGGUUCCCAUUCCUUUUAAAGGUGGGAGGAAGCCUUAUGGGAUACCUUUAUGCCAAGCACCGAUGUAGAUGCCAGCCUUGUUAGCUUGCCGAUGCCCCUUCGGCAUGGGCUUUGUCUGCUCUUCACAUUUUGUUUCUUAUUUCUGUGUUUGCCUUUGUCACGAUUGCUAUCUGUACUUUUGUCGCAGGGAGUCUUGGUGCCUCUGUGUUCCCCACUUCUCCAUGCCUCUCUGCCGAGCCUGCCUUGCGCCUUUCAUUACCACGUUAACAAACUCGAGUCGUGCCUAACGAGGACGCCUCAUACGUUAUGCUAAUGAUCAAGAGACAUGUUAAUGAUAUUUUAGAAGCCUAAUUAGUGGAAUAUAUAACUAUAUGCAAUUUGGUAAUGGACUGUGACAAGAAGUUGUUAAAAGGGGACUUGACAAAUCCAGUUGCAUGUGGCCUCAGACAAACAGGAGCUAAGAAUGGGUACGUGGAAAUCAGUCAGGAAGGUGGAGGGAGGUGUGCAUUGGGGAUGUGAAUGCCCAUGAGUACAUUUAGGUGGGGGUCAAUAGUUCUUAAGGGUAAUGCCUCUUUUCUUAUCAUCCUUCAACUGUCCUAAAACCACAAGGCUGUCUGUAUCCAAAGAAUUAUUUUCCAAUGUUUCUUAAGCAAUUGCUUUUCCUUCCCAUUGAUCAUACUCGGGUAUCUUUGUUCGAAAUGCUAUUUUGAUUAUGUUAUCCCCCACGAUAUCCAUACUUGCGAUUUGUAAUGGAAGAUGUACACACAGAAGAUGGGCUCUUUUGCCCGAAGGAGAUUUUAUUGUGUUAUAAACCAACAAUCAAGACUGUGUGAACUGAGAAAUAAUCAGGAUCGUGUCUAUCAACGUGUUGAUCUUGUUGGUGGGAGGAAAACAAGGGGUGGUGUGUGUAAAAUCAGUCGGCCGUGGAAACGUCAUUUUCUCUUCAUGAUUGAAUCGGUGGAGACAUAGAUUUCUCCACUCCCAGGCUUUCUCUCUCUCAGUGAUCCCCUAGUCUGGAUCCUGGGAGGACCAUGGAUUGCUGAAAAGAUUUGGGGAAUCUAUGCAUACACCAACCAUAUAAUUAUGCCAUACACAUAUGCAGACAUGCAUGCGCACACAUGUAAACAUACAGAUAAAUAGAUCUCCUAAAAUCUUUUGAAUGCAUGAAGUGCUUUUAUGGUUGACAAAAAGCACCUUCACAUUUAAGAAGCAGUUUUCUCCUUUCCUGUCCUCUCCCCUUUUCUCAUGUAUCAUGUCAUCUGUCCAUCUAUAAAAGCUAAACUUACAAUGGUUUCUUGUGUAGAGAGCCUUGGCUUUUUUGGGGGGGGGAGGGUUGGUUUUUAUUGAUUCUGUAAAGGAGACCCCACAGCUGCAAAGACUGGGGACCUCUACUUAACCUGUUGCCAUCAAGGUUGCUUAUAAAAAUGUAAGCACAUAGCUUUUACUUUUGACUAUGGCUUUAAUUCUAAAUAGUAUGUUUCUGAGACUUUCCAUAGUGGUGUCUGUUAAUUACUUUACUGUCUCUCUCUUUUUUUUAAUAUAAACUGGAGCUAUAUUUUCACAGAGUAGGAACACCACCUAACCUCACCCUCAGAAUUUAGCAGUCUUUAUAGAAAUCAUGUUAAACCCCAGGACUCAUUGUGAAGAAACCUGGGCUCUGGGGUACCUGGAUGGCACUUUCUUGGAGGCUUCAACUCUAGUAACUGGCUUGCUAUUUAUUUAUUUAUUUAUUUAUUUAUUUAUUUAUUUAUUUAUUUAUUUAUUAUGAUUAAAGAGACCUACAGAGGUAGGCUCGCAGCAUCACACUUGAGCUCCCAGUAAAGCUUUCAGAAGCAUGCACUAUGCUAGAAAACAUCUCAAGUUUUCAGCUCUUUGAUGGAGAAAGACAGUUACAGACACGAGGAGAGUGUUUUGAGCUCUUGAAAUGUAUUUUAUCAGGUUAUGGGCAGCAGGGCAUAUUUGUCAUGUCUUCCUGGCUGUUCUUCCCAGUCGCCUGUCCCAUCCCCAGCACACACCUCUGUUUUGGUUUAAAUCUUUAUUGAACGCUAACCCUGUGUCCUCCCCAGUUCUGGAGUGCUGGGUAACUUUCCUUUGCUGUUUGUUUGUUUGUUUGUUUGUUUGUUUGUUUUUUAUGUCACUCCUAGUCCAGUCCUGGGACAUGGGCCCGUGGCAGGGGUACCUCCCACAACUGACACUUUUCCUCUCUUCCUUUUGCUUGUUACCCUAAAGGAUUCAGUCUGAAAGUAAAGAAGAAGAACUAUACAUCACCUCACUUAUCAAAUUAUGCCCUCUUGACAUCCAAGACCUUUAGUAGUCUUUAUUUAGAUAUGGCCGCCAGCCACGCCUGUGCUCACUUCUUGGAUGGAGAGGAAAUCCAUCUUCUAACGGGCAGCCACAGGUGUCGCUUGGAGAACAUGCCAAGGAGAUAGACCGAAAGUCCCCUUUGAACGUACAGAUUUAAAAUAAAAAAAAAUGACAUAUGACCUUGUUCUGUUGUAUUUUCUCUACAUCCUGUCUUUUUGCUCUCCUGAUGGGCACUUUCUAGACGUGACUAAGACUUGGCUUCAGCAACUUUAUAAAUUUUCUUUAUGUAGACUUUAAUUCUUAAAAAUUACUCUUUUUGCUGACAAGUCAAUGUGGGCUGUCCAGUGAGGCCAGGGGUGGGGUGGUGUCAAAUCCUCUGAACUUGCAGUUAUGGUUGUGAGCCACUGUGUUAGUGCUGGGAACUGAACCUGGUUCCUCGGGAAGAGUACCCAUCUACAGCUUAUGAGUUCCACAUCCUCAGACUUCAUAGGAGCAUCACGAUCCAUUUUGCCUCCUGUCUCCUUCCCUGGCGAUGGUCUUGAUAAAGCACUCCUGGCAGGUCCUGCCUGGAUUCGAGAUUCUUCUGUUCUGUCUGCUGCUUGUUCCUAAAUAAAAAAAUGAGAACCUGUUUUGCGGAGGAAGAUGGGAAGGGGGAAGCUUUCUAAGAGAGCCUGUGGAAAAAGCACAUUCAUUAUCAAUGUCUUCCUCACUGAGUCGUUUGAAGCCAGGAAAAUUAGCAGUCACUUUGAAGCUCAACAGACCUUUCAUCUUUGUGUGUGUGUGUGUGUGUGUGUGUGUGUGUGUGUGUGUGUGUUAAUAUUAAGUUGAGAUUCUUUUUCUUGCCACUUAUUUGGUUUUUCUGCUAAUAAUGAAAUUAUAAUGAGAUCCCUGAUGGAAUUAAAAAAAAAAACACCUCACAUGGAUUACCCCUUCCCCCUCUCCCUCCUGCUCCCUCUCUAGAAAUCUACUCUGCAUAAUAGGCCUUUGUUUCUGUGUUUCAGACAUAACUGAGGGAGGCCUGGAGCUGGAAAUGCACCCUUGUUGUUCUUUUUAAGGAAUAGGGUGUACCAUUCUGUUAGGCAGAAAGUCUUGUCUUUCCUGUCCACUUCCAAGGCCAUUAUCCAGAGACCUCUGUUUUCCCUCAUCCCUGCUACCCCAGAUUGUGGUAGGGGGACAAAAGCACCCGAUGCUUUCACAGGGUCAGUGAUAAACUGUAUUUCAGAUGUGUCAACCCUCUUACUUUAAGGCGGACAGUCCUUUGUUAGAAAUGUGGGUGGGGGGAGGUCCAGGAGACAGCCUCUGAAGCCUAGACCCUCCCCACUGCUUUUGCCCACUGUGGCUACCAGGGUAUUGAUUCUGCUAGCCAGAUUUGCUGUGUAGUUAAGGAUAACUUUGAACUUCUGGUUUUCCUACCCCUACCUCCCAAGUGCUGGCAUUAUAGGGUACAGUUUAUAUAGUACUGGGGCAUCCCUCCAAUCUAGAGCUGUGAGCAUGCUAGGCAAGCACUCUUCCAACCGUCUCACAUCCUGAGUCUUCCAGAAUACAAACGUCUCUGUGUUAACUGAGACUCCCUCCCUUGCCACCCCUUCCUUACCAAUACUGGCUUUUGACAUUGGUUGAAGAGGGCCUUUUACCCAGGCCUGAGCUGUCUUCAUUUAAGUCUGGGUUUCUUCACAUGGUCACACCUAUGCAAGGGCUCUUAAAAGAACGACCGUCAUACAGGGCACUCAAGGCAGAUGCACACACAAAUUUCACAAACUCUUACUGAGUUCCACUACAUUCCACACUGUAGGCCUUGACUAGCCUUAGAUUUAGAAAAUCCUUUCAUAAUCCAGCCCAAAUCUCUUCCGUGUCAGUGUUUUGUGUUAGGCAAAAGACAGCCUCCCACAUUUUGCCCUUUUUAAUACCAGAAACGUGGCAUAAAGAACAGGCAAGAUGGUGGUAAAUGCACCAAGACAAGGGGUGGUUUCCGCAUCUGUCUUCCUCAGCUUUUCUGAUCGAUGCUAGUGACCAAUAUCAGAACCUAACUCCCCACCAAGUCUUGGGUUCUCCCUCUCCUCCUUCCUUCUCACCAUUAAACAGGUGUAAUAAAGCCGGGGAAUCUUUACAGUUGGUGAUUUUAUAUCAUAGAUCAAAGAUCAAAGCAGAAGAAUACACAGCAACCAUAAAAUUAACUGCUUUUUCAAUUUUACAAUGCUUUCAGUGAUAGAGAAUCUUAUAAAUUUAAUAUUAAUUAAACACUUAGCUUUUAACCUCCUCCUGCAUCUACUUUUGGCUGGUGGCUGGAAAAAAUUAAUUGGGCAUCUUAAAUCUUGCAUUACUAACGCCUUGACAGGAGGGGUUUCAAAAGCACUUAGAACUCCAGCAGAACGCACUCAGCGUAUGUGUCCUUCCACUCACCUAAUUGAAAAUGCCUUUUUUUCCCCCUUCUGGAAAAAUGAACCAUUUGCUAAUUUUUUUAAAGGAAGUGUAACUUACAGUUCCUUUUCAUAGCCCAAGCUUUAACUCAGUCCCUUGGCACAUUUAACACUUUGCAAAUGAAAGCCGUUGAACUUCGAUUAUGAUGAGAGCCUUAUUGAUUUCCGAGUGCUCUGGUACAGAUGUGUGGCUGGCAAUCACUUGGCCUGACCACUGUGUCACCUGCAACUCUUGUGUUCUCCAGUCAGCAGGAGUCGCCUAUUUCUGGGUGAGUGUGGUAGGAGAUGGGAGUCAACUUGAUCUUGAAGCUUCAGCAAUGGUGGCCUUUGAGAACAGACCCUGGUCAUAACGUAGAGUGCAGAUUGGCAGGGAAAAGAAAUCACGUAUCUCUUAAUCUCUUAAAGUUUUAAGAGAUAGGAAACCAGGACUGGGAAGAUGUUUUAGUUGGUAAAGUGAUUGCUGAACAAGCAUUAGGGACCUGAGUUCGGUUCCCCAGCGACUGUGUACAAUCCAAAUGAGGCAGUAUGCCUCUGUAACCCCAGUUCUGAGGGGUCGAGGCAGGGACAGGAGGAUAUCCAGGCUUGCUGGGUGACCAAUCUAGUCAGGGCUUUAGGUUCGGUGAUAGAUUUUGUCUCAAAAACUGAAGUGGAGAGGAACUGAAAAAGAUACUGGAUAUCAACACUUGUCCCCCAAA